rnacentral:tRNA from 1 species
GUCCCAGUGGCGCAAUGGGUUAGCGCGCGGUACUUAUAAUGCCGAGGUUGUGAGUUCGAGCCUCACCUGGGACA